rnacentral:lncRNA from 1 species
UUCUUCACUUGACGAGGUUGAGGAGGCUUAGCAUCUAGACAAUACAAUAGAGAAAAAUGACAAUGUUUAUUAUGCACGAUGAUGACAUGCCCGUGGUUAUGAGGGUGCAAGUUCAUCAAUAUUACUAAAUGUGCAACCACUGUUCAUGCUAAUACUAUAUGCAUGAUUUAUUGGUUGCGCAAGGUGCAUUUAAUAUUAGUGUUACUUUUGGUUAGUUAGUUCUGCAGUUCCUUUUCUUUUCUUCUUUCUCUAGUUCUUUCUUUUUAUCUUUCACUGCUUCUCCAUUCUCGUUCGCUUCUCUCAACUUAGGCAACCUCAUUUACCACAAUUCUUGAUGCUACUGACGAUGUUGUGCGCAAUACUUUCAAUACUUGGUUUUCAUUGACCCGUUCUUCAAUUGACGAGGUUAAGGAGGCUUAGCAUUUGAACAGUGCAAUAGAGAAGGAUGGUAGUGUUUAUUAUGCACGAUGAUGACAUGCCCGUGGUUAUGAGGGUGUAAGUCCAUCAACAUGUUAAUUUGUUAGCUAUUUAACUAUGUAAUUUAAUUAAAUUGUUAUUGAAUUGAUAUUUGUUACUAUAAUGAAUUAUUUUGGCAUUCUCAUUCAUUUUUAUAAUUAUAAAUUUUACCUGCAAUGAAAUUAGUUGAUUAUGUUAGUUAUUGGA